rnacentral:rRNA from 1 species
AACGCUGCCGGCAUGCUUCAUACAUGCAAGUCGAACGUGAAAGACCUUCGGGUCGAGUAAAGUGGCGCACGGGUGAGUAACGCGUAGAUAAUCUGCCCCGCUGUCUAGGGAUAACCUUUCGAAAGGAGAGGCUAAUACCGGAUAAUACGAUUCCUUUCAAGAGGAGUCGUUGAAAGUUGCGGCGCAACGGGAUGAGUCUGCGUCCCAUUAGCUAGUUGGUGGGGUAAAGGCCUACCAAGGCGACGAUGGGUAGCGGGUUUGAGAGGACGAUCCGCCACACUGAACUGAGACACGGUCCAGACUCCUACGGGAGGCAGCAGUAGGGAAUUUUGCGCAAUGGGCGAAAGCCUGACGCAGCAAUGCCGCGUGAGUGAAGAAGGCCCUCGGGUCGUAAAGCUCUUUAUCCUCGGGAAGAUGAUGACGGUACCGAAGGAAGAAGCACCGGCUAACUACGUGCCAGCAGCCGCGGUAAUACGUAGGGUGCAAGCGUUGU